rnacentral:rRNA from 1 species
GUGGGGAAUAUUGCACAAUGGGCGAAAGCCUGAUGCAGCGACGCCGCGUGGGGGAUGACGGCCUUCGGGUUGUAAACCCCUUUCAGUAGGGAAGAAGCGAGAGUGACGGUACCUGCAGAAGAAGCGCCGGCUAACUACGUGCCAGCAGCCGCGGUAAUACGUAGGGCGCAAGCGUUGUCCGGAAUUAUUGGGCGUAAAGAGCUUGUAGGUGGCUUGUCGCGUCUGCCGUGAAAACCCGAGGCUCAACCUCGGGCGUGCGGUGGGUACGGGCAGGCUAGAGUGUGGUAGGGGAGACUGGAACUCCUGGUGUAGCGGUGAAAUGCGCAGAUAUCAGGAAGAACACCGAUGGCGAAGGCAGGUCUCUGGGCCAUUACUGACACUGAGAAGCGAAAGCAUGGGUAGCGAACAGG